CUUCCAUUGUUUCAUUCAGUCACACAACGGGAAUCAAUCACAACUUGCGACCGGUUAUAUAAACGUUCCUGUGUCCUAACGUACAGCAGACUUUCGGGAGGUACCGCUGCUUGUGAAAAGAAGACUUGGCCAAAGAAAACAGACUGAUCAGUUCAUCACCAAGGUCUGAUUCGGAAUGGCACGGGCUUACGUCGUUCUCUUGCUGAUGGGUUGUGUGAUCUUGCUGAUCUAUGCUGUGGGUGGCAUACCAGUUACGUCCAAAGAUGGCAAUGACGCUUACAGCCGUGCAAACCAUAGAACAACAGUCUGCAACCUGGGUUCGUGCCAGACACAAAAUUUGGCAUCUUGGUUAGCUGAACCCGAACUAGAGCAUUCCGGUGGAACAGGCGCACACAGCUACGGCCGGCGAAAAAGAAGAUCCGUCCCUGAUAAAAAGCAGCUUGUGCACCUCUUGAGAGGUAGUGCUAGACACUGAUGAAUGUGGAACCAUCGAACCAUAUCCGACGAUGAAUCAUUGUGACAAGGUGCUUCAACCUCCUACUUUGUCACUUGCGGUACCUUGGGAAUAAAUAUAUUUUAAUAUUGCAAGAACGCAA